rnacentral:rRNA from 1 species
GACGAACGCUGGCGGCGUGCCUAAUACAUGCAAGUUGAGCGCUGAAGGUUGGUACUUGUACCAACUGGAUGAGCAGCGCACGGGUGAGUAACGCGUGGGGAAUCUGCCUUUGAGCGGGGGACAACAUUUGGAAACGAAUGCUAAUACCGCAUAAAAACUUUAAACACAAGUUUUAAGUUUGAAAGAUGCAAUUGCAUCACUCAAAGAUGAUCCCGCGUUGUAUUAGCUAGUUGGUGAGGUAAAGGCUCACCAAGGCGAUGAUACAUAGCCGACCUGAGAGGGUGAUCGGCCACAUUGGGACUGAGACACGGCCCAAACGCCUACGGGAGGCAGCAGUAGGGAAUCUUCGGCAAUGGACGAAAGUCUGACCGAGCAACGCCGCGUGAGUGAAGAAGGUUUUCGGAUCGUAAAACUCUGUUGGUAGAGAAGAACGUUGGUGAGAGUGGAAAGCUCAUCAAGUGACGGUAACUACCCAGAAAGGGACGGCUAACUACGUG